AGGAUAUUGCUGCUGCUAUUGACGAAGAAGAUGUCGGGAAGUUUACUGAUGCUGUGAAGGAAUUUGAUAGCAUGACCCCACUGGAUUCUUGGAAGACCACACUUCUUUUGAGGGUGAAGGAAAAGCUGAAAGCGAAAGAACUUGAGGAGGAUGAUCUUACUUGAAGUAUACCACUCACUAUUUUGGUGGUUGGACCUAUUGUUUGAUGAUUUACAGAUGUACCAUGCAUGUCUAUUCAGUUGUUCAUUUUACACAUCUACACAUCUACUUACUGAGUGUCCUUGCUUUCAUUUGAGUGUACUUUGGUUUCAAUAUUGAUUUGGUCUGACUGAAUUCAAGAAAUGAGUUUUUAAUAUAUUAUUUGUAACAGAUUGUAA